AGAGUUUGAUCAUGGCUCAGGAUGAACGCUAGCUACAGGCUUAACACAUGCAAGUCGAGGGGCAGCAUGUUGGUUGCUUGCAACCAAUGAUGGCGACCGGCGCACGGGUGAGUAACGCGUAUCCAACCUACCCUUGUCCAUCGGAUAACCCGGUCGAAAGGCGGCCUAACACGAUAUGCGGUUCUCAGCAGGCAUCUAACGAGAACGAAAUGUGAAGGAGAAGGAUGGGGAUGCGUCUGAUUAGCUUGUUGGCGGGGUAACGCCACAAGGCGACGAUCAGUAGGGUUCUGAGAGGAACGGUCCCCCANAUUGGAACUGAGACACGGUCCAAACUCCGUAGGGAGCA
rnacentral:rRNA from 1 species